AUUGAACGCUGGCGGCAGGCCUAACACAUGCAAGUCGAACGAGUGGCGGACGGGUGAGUAAUGUCUGGGAAACUGCCCGAUGGAGGGGGAUAACUACUGGCAACGGUAGCUAAUACCGCAUACCAUCGGAUGUGCCAAGAUGGGAUUAGCUAGUAGGUGGGGUAACGGCGCACCUAGGCGACGAUCCCUAGCUGGUCUGAAUGGAUGACCAGCGAACAUGGAACGUAGACCAGGUCCAGAAGCCUACGGGAGGCAGCAGUGGGGAAUAUUGCACAAUGGGCGCAAGCCUGAUGCAGCCAUGCCGAGUGUAUGAAGAAGGCCUUCGGGUUGGAAAGGAAUUUCAGCGAGGAGGCGUUACUCGCAGAAGAAGCACCGGCUAACUCCGUGCCAGCAGCCGCGGUAAUAC
rnacentral:rRNA from 1 species